GGGCCCGCUCGGGCCGCCGCUGCCGCCCGCGGCUUUGCGGCGCUCACGUGGUGGGAAGGAGUUUCUGGAGGAGCGGGUGGGACGUGGCUCCGAGCAGCGAGGGGAAGAGUAGCUCGGUUUCAGUUUCAGCCCCCCACCCCCCGCGCGCUUAUUUUACUUACUUAUUUUAUUUUUCUUUUAUUUUCCCCUGUAUUUCCAUACGUGAGCACUGAGGGUAGGGAGUGGGAUGGUAGAGGCCUCUGCCCUGCACAAUGUUACAUAUAAAGUUCUAGCCAUAUAGCCCAAAAUAGGGUUCUGGUAUACUCGGUUGUAAGGGAAAUGGUGUCAUAAAGGGAAUCAGGAAAAUGCCAUUAAAUGGUUACCAAAAAGGAGAAGAAAGCAUGGAGGAAAGUAUAAAGGCUACGAGUGUGGACCUGAGACAAAGUGUUUGCUACCUGCAAGAAGCUUGGAAGAGUGAGCAGGAAACCUUAGUAAGAGAUGAGGAGGGAAGAGCUGCGGGACCGUUAAACUUCUGAGAAGAGGUGGAAGGAAGAGAUUUGGGGCAAAGACAGAAUACGUUUUCAGGAGAGGCUGCUUGGAAAGAUACGAGGAGAUAAGCAUGCUGUUGAUGUCUCGCAUAGCAGAUACAGAAGGACAAGAAGACUGCCAGAAGGUAUUUGUAAUUGAAGGACAAGACGGAUUUUAAGAGAUGAUGGAUCAUUUAGAAGACAUCGUAUCUCAAGUACCAAGCUGUGGAGAACUGGACAAGGAGAUGUUUCUUUCUUUUCCUGCACCUGUGUCUUGCCAACAAACACUAUAUGUGCCAGUUCAUCACAAACUGAUGACAAGGAGGAGCAAGCAAUCGAUGGUCAGGUUGUGACUGCGAUGAAGGCAAUAACAACAGUACUGGAGCAAGAAAUCCCAGAGCAGCUUGACAGACAAAAACUUAUACAUGAGACAGGCAUACCUGCUUUGAAGCAUAUUUUAGAAGAUAUACAGCUGAAAGGACCAGGACAUGUAACUUUUAAAAUUCUGGUUGUACUCUUUUUGGUUAAAUUAUGGAAAAGGCUGUGA
rnacentral:lncRNA from 1 species